rnacentral:rRNA from 1 species
GACGAACGCUGGCGGCGUGCUUAACACAUGCAAGUCGAACGGAAAGGCCCUGCUUUUGUGGGGUGCUCGAGGGGCGAACGGGUGAGUAACACGUGAGUAACCUGCCCUUGACUUUGGGAUAACUUCAGGAAACUGGGGCUAAUACCGGAUAGGAGCCCCUGCUGCAGGGUGGGGGUUGGAAAGUUUCGGCGGUUGGGGAUGGACUCGCGGUUUAUCAGCUUGUUGGUGGGGUAGUGGCUUACCAAGGCUUUGACGGGUAGCCGGCCUGAGAGGGUAAACGGGCACAUUGGGACUGAGGUACGGCGCAGACUCGAACGGGAGACAGCAGUGGGGAAUCUUGCACAGUCAGGGGAAGUCUGAUACGAAAGCGUCGCGAGUGGAAUGACGGCCUUCGGGUUGUAAACCGCUUUCGCCUAAGACGAAGCGUGAGUGACGGUAAUGGGUGAAGAAGCACCGGCUAACUACGUG